AUGUCUGCUUCCGCUCAAGUUAUAGCACUGGGUGAAAUUUUGAGUCCCCAUCGCCAGUUGGUACCUCCCUCUCAUCAUCUGAUAUGUAUCAGCAAAAGGGUCUCGCCCCGAUUCCGUUUCAGAAAUCAGGUACUAUAUAGUUUGGUAGCAAGAGGAACACAGCUAACAUACAGGCUCAGCGGAAAGAAAGGAAGGAAACGCCAACCAGCCACUAGGAGAUUUUAUUCCUCAUUUAAGUUCCUUUCAAGAAUCAAGACUACCAUGGACAAUUUUUUUGUUUCAACUCAUGUAAACCUAAAGUGUUGGCUGCAUGUUGUCAUGAGAAUAGGAUCAUCGGCUUAA
rnacentral:rRNA from 1 species